rnacentral:rRNA from 1 species
AACGAACGCUGGCGGCAGGCCUAACACAUGCAAGUCGAACGCCCUAGCAAUAGGGAGUGGCAGACGGGUGAGUAACACGUGGGAACCUUCCCUAUAGUACGGAAUAGCCCAGGGAAACUUGGAGUAAUACCGUAUACGCCCGAGAGGGGAAAGAUUUAUCGCUAUAGGAUGGGCCCGCGUAGGAUUAGCUAGUUGGUGAGGUAAUGGCUCACCAAGGCGACGAUCCUUAGCUGGUCUGAGAGGACGACCAGCCACACUGGGACUGAGACACGGCCCAGACUCCUACGGGAGGCAGCAGUGGGGAAUAUUGGACAAUGGGCGCAAGCCUGAUCCAGCCAUGCCGCGUGUGUGAUGAAGGCCUUAGGGUUGUAAAGCACUUUUGCCGGGGACGAUAAUGACGGUACCCGGAGAAUAAGUCCCGGCUAACUUCGUGCCAGCCGCCGCAGUAAAAC